GUGGCGUUGAAUGUGUCGAAGGUUCGAUUCCUGGAGUUUCAUUUGGAGAAAUAAAGUUUCAGAUUAAGCUUGGAGUGCCUCAUUCUCUUUACCAGCAGCUGGAUUUGGAGAAUGUUAAGUCCAUCUUCCCAUAGUAAGUUCCACAGUGGAGAUUGUGAAUGUGGAGGUAGUGGAUGGAGGACUGAUUUGCUCAAGCGGCGUUCUAGUUGAAGAAAUGGGUGAUACAAAUGAAGAUUGCUAUAUAGUGUAUGCCGCAGUCUACGGUGGCUAAUGGCUACUAAGUCUCCGAGUUUAACAAUGUCAUUCUCGUUGAUAGGAGAGAAAAAACGAGAACAAUUGCAGUCACUAGCUUUUAGUUGUAUAUCUUUAUUUAAGAACCAAUUUGGUUUGUAGGAAUCAAUACCACAAUUUCAGUUAAAA